AUUGAACGCUGGCGGCAUGCCUUACACAUGCAAGUCGAACGGUAACGGGCCUUCGGGUGCCGACGAGUGGCGAACGGGUGAGUAAUGUAUCGGAACGUACCUUUCAGUGGGGGAUAACGUAGCGAAAGUUACGCUAAUACCGCAUAUUCUGUGAGCAGGAAAGCAGGGGAUCGCAAGACCUUGCGCUGAUUGAGCGGCCGAUAUCAGAUUAGCUAGUUGGUGAGGUAAAGGCUCACCAAGGCGACGAUCUGUAGCGGGUCUGAGAGGAUGAUCCGCCCCACUGGAACUGGGAACCGGUCCAGACUCCUACGGGAGGCAGCAGUGGGGAAUUUUGGACAAUGGGGGCAACCCUGAUCCAGCCAUGCCGCGUGAGUGAAGAAGGCCUUCGGGUUGUAAAGCUCUUUCGGCCGGGAAGAAAUCGUAUCAGCUAAUACCUGGUGCGGAUGACGGUACCGGCAUAAGAAGCACCGGCUAACUACGUGCCAGCCGCCGCCGUAAUAC
rnacentral:rRNA from 1 species